GGUGAACGCUGGCGGCGUGCCUAAUACAUGCAAGUCGAGCGAACAGACGAGGAGCUUGCUCCUCUGACGUUAGCGGCGGACGGGUGAGUAACACGUGGAUAACCUACCUAUAAGACUGGGAUAACUUCGGGAAACCGGAGCUAAUACCGGAUAAUAUAUUGACCCGCAUGGUUCAAUAGUGAAAGACGGUUUUGCUGUCACUUAUAGAUGGAUCCGCGCCGCAUUAGCUAGUUGGUAAGGUAACGGCUUACCAAGGCAACGAUGCGUAGCCGACCUGAGAGGGUGAUUGACUAGACUGGAACUGAGACACGGUCCAGACUCCUACGGGAGGCAGCAGUAGGGAAUCUUCCGCGAUGGGCGAAAGCUUGACGGAGCAAAGCCGCGGAAGUGAUGAAGGUCUUCGGAUCGUAAAACUCUGUUAUUAGGGAAGAAGAAAUGUGUAAGUAACUAUGCACGUAUUGACGGUACCUAAUCAGAAAGCCACGGCUAACUACGUG
rnacentral:rRNA from 1 species